rnacentral:rRNA from 1 species
UACGAAGGGUGCAAGCGUUAAUCGGAAUUACUGGGCGUAAAGCGCGCGUAGGUGGUUCAGUAAGUUGGAAGUGAAAGCCCCGGGCUCAACCUGGGAAUUGCAUUUGAAACUGGGAAACUAGAGUGUGUGAGAGGGGGGUAGAAUUCAAAGUGUAGCGGUGAAAUGCGUAGAUAUAGGAAGGAACACCAGUGGCGAAGGCGACCACCUGGACUGAUACUGACACUGAGGUGCGAAAGCGUGGGGAGCAAACAGG